rnacentral:tRNA from 2 species
AGGCUUGUAGCCCAGGUGGUUAGAGCGCACCCCUGAUAAGGGUGAGGUCGGUGGUUCAAGUCCACUCAGGCCUA